rnacentral:rRNA from 1 species
UACGUAGGGGGCAAGCGUUGUCCGGAAUCAUUGGGCGUAAAGAGCGUGUAGGCGGCCGGUAAGUCCGCUGUGAAAGUCCAGGGCUCAACCCUGGGAUGCCGGUGGAUACUGUCGGGCUCGAGUCCGGGAGAGGGGGGUGGAAUUCCCAGUGUAGCGGUGAAAUGCGUAGAUAGUCAGGAGGAACACCUGCGGUCGUAGACGGCUUUCUGGACCAUUACUGACUGAGACACGAAAGCGUGGGUAGCAAACAGG